UGGGGAAUCAUGGUCAAUGGGCGAAAGCCUGAUGCAGCAACGCCGCGUGAGGGAAGACGGUUUUCGGAUUGUAAACCUCUGUCUUCGGUGAAGAAAAAAAUGACGGUAGCCGAGGAGGAAGCCACGGCUAACUACGUGCCAGCAGCCGCGGUAAUACGUAGGUGGCGAGCGUUGUCGGGAAUUACUGGGUGUAAAGGGAGCGCAGGCGGGGAGACAAGUCAGCUGUGAAAACUAUGGGCUUAACCCAUAAACUGCAGUUGAAACUGUUUUUCUUGAGUGGAGUAGAGGUAGGCGGAAUUCCGAGUGUAGCGGUGAAAUGCGUAGAUAUUCGGAGGAACACCAGUGGCGAAGGCGGCCUACUGGGCUCUAACUGACGCUGAGGCUCGAAAGCUAGGGUAGCAAACG
rnacentral:rRNA from 1 species